rnacentral:lncRNA from 1 species
UUUUUAUUUGAUAUACAAUUUAUCAACACAAUAAAAAUCUAACAAUUAUCAUGUGCAGAGUGUGAAAAUCUCAUCAGAUUAAGGAACACAAAGACAUCUUUUUCAUAUUUCGAAUGUAAAACUGUUUUGGAAACUGUUAUUUUUAGAAACAGUUAAAAACAUUUUUUCAUUAGUUUUUCAUGUAAAAUUGCGACAACCAGCAUGAAAUAACUGUCAUCACAGAAGCAUGGUAUAUUCGAUUCCAAAACAUAUUCUUUGUAAGUUUUAAUAUAUUUAUGUAUUAUUUAUACUUAGAUUGUAACCCAUAAUGUACAGAUAUUAUUUUUCCUUCAACUCUUAAGAAUAUUCUUAAAUAAUAAAAUUAAAAUUAAUGAAUUAUAAUUUUUGUUGCUUGGGAAAAAGAAUAGACACACACGUGACAGUGCAUCACUUCACCCCAUCAUUUCAUCUCAUCAUUUCAUCAUUUCAUCUCAUCAUUUUAUCUCAUUUCAUCUCAUCCCAUCUCAUCAUUUCAUCAUUUCAUCUCAUCAUUUCAUUUCAUCUCAUCUCAUUUCAUCUCAUAUCUCAAUUCAAUU